AUGAUUGUUUACCUAUAUUUUUAAUAAGUUGUGGUAACAGCAAGCUAAUUUCACUGUUCAACAUACAGUCUUUGAUAUGGAAGUGUGAGGGGUAACGUAUUUAUUCUGUGAAACAUUAAAUAGACACUGAUAGCCGGUUAGAUUUUUUUGACAAAAUGCAGCAUCCUUAAAUCCUUAGUUGUAAACCAGCUAGCCUAUAUAUGCAGCCUUUUUGAAAUAUGCUGUUUAAAUUGUAAAUUAAUCACGUAAUUAUUAUCGUAUUCAUUGUGGACGUUGCGUAUUUAAAAGUGAGGAAAGCCUGUUGUAUGAAAUCCAUAGGCCUACAAGCGCAGUAAGUUAGUCCCUCACAGGGCUCGCACGUAAAUCGGCGGGAAACAGCGACAUAAGCGAGUGAGUUGUGUGUGGAAAGUCUGCUGUAUUUUAGAAAUACUCGUCAGAAAAAGCAACUGAGUGACUGCUGCCACUCAUGGACACGUUUGUGAGAGGAAAAUUGUCUGAAUGGCAGCUUGAAAAUCUUAUAGACACAUUUAAAGAUUUACAAGAUUUCUGUAUCCUGUAUCCUAAUGCAGCGAGGAAACUGUUUGAAAACUGGACCACGAUAAGUGAAAGAAUUCUUCCAUAUGCCCAGCGAGAGGGUAAACUGCCCUCAGUACUGGGUGACAUGACACCAGCUGCUAAAGAGGAGACAGCUUUGAAGGUCCUGCCAACUCUGCUUCCCCCAUCCAUCUAAAGGAGAGGAGGAAAGGUCUUCAGACCCACCACAGAGGAGGCCCAGAAGUCAUUUAUUGACAUGCAACCUGUUGGGACCAACAUGGUUGAAUAUUUAAACCAUGAGAUGACCGGAGCAUUGCUGCACAUUCUGUGCCUCAGUGAUGAGACAAGGGGGACAUCACAGACCUUUGCCAUUAUUCCAGGCCACGCCAUUGAAACUGAGUCUUUGUUGGAGGUGGUUGAUCUUUGCUUUAAAGCUUUUUUUGUUUUUGAUGUUCAGUACACCAAGCAGUGUCUCCCCACCUGGGAGUUUCUCCAGCAUGCUGUAUAUCAAAUUGAAGGAAAAGAGUCGUCCUCUGUAAAGUUUUUGAGGACAGCAGUGGUUUCAGGCCCACAUGAUAUGUAGAUGAUUUUAAAAUGUAUUUUGUUGCUGUUCUUAAAUCAACACAUCUUAAUAAAUUAAAUUGUAAUCGUAUGAGAGUUCAAAUUAGUUGUUUAAUGACUUUUAAUGCCUGAAUAUUUGGACAGAUUUACAUUUGUUAUAAAGUCUGUGGGGAAGGGUGAAUGUCAGAGG